ensembl:lncRNA
GGAGGAGGGGGAGGGGCGGCGGCCCACUGGAAGGCGCUGUGGUCCGAGCAGGAGGUGGUGCUAGAAAGGGAUGGUGUACUGGAUAGGCUGUGGGGGAGCUAACAGGCCUGACUGACGGGCUGGAUCUGGGGCACUAGGGACAGGGCCUCAAGGACGACUCCUUGGCUGUGCCCGAGUAGCUCGGCAGAUGGUGGUGCUGUGCACUGAGAUGGAGAAAACUUGGGAAGGAAGCAUCGGAUUUGGGAGCUCGGAGAAACCGUAGUUCCGUAGUUCCGUCUUUGUAGCCAGUUCUGUUAAAGCUGAGAGGCCUCUGCUCAUCCAAAUGCAGCUCAGGGCUGGAGGUACGAUCUGGGAGUCAGUCCCCCUCUCUCUCUCUCUCUCUCACACACACACACACACACACACACACACACAUACACACACACACGCGCGCGCGCGCGCACACGGAGAGUGUGUAGGAGGACGGAGCCCUAGGACUCCUGUAUAUUGACAGGUUGGGAGGAGGAGGAGCCAGGAAAGUAAAGUGGAAGGAAUGGUCAGUGUGGCGAGAACGGCGUCCGGAGCAGUGUUGCCGGGCGGCGGUGUCAGCUGUGUCCCAGCUGCAGGGAGGCUGAGCUAGCUGAGCAGAGAAUGGGGAGGAAGAGGGCACCGUCGAGGGCCUUUGCUGCACGGCGCCGCACAGAAGUGAAGCCUCAGGUGAAACACAGUUCCGGCUCCUUUUGCUUUUUGCCGUGUUUCCCGCUAGAAGAGAGUAUCUUCUUACAGUAAUGAGGAUGGUCCAGUAGAGACAGAGAGGGGAUCAGAGGCUAGAAAAGAGGCGGCACGCAGGGGAGUCCUUGAGAAGAUUGGGAGCUGGGGGGGGUCCCGGCACAAGUGUCCUGGAACCGAGGGGACGUAAGGAGAGAACGCGGCCCGCUGCAGGGACCUGGAGGAGGGUCAGGAGGGCCGCUGCCCUCCAUCUCUGCUCUCCGCUGAGAGACAGCGCUGCUGCCGUCUGCAGGGCGGGGAAACCACCCGCGCCUGACGAUGAAGCUGAGUCCGAGGUGUGUGGCUGUGAUGCUGGGGCCGGCGGCGAGGACACCGGGGAGCAUCACAGAGGGUGACACGGGCGGAGACUGCAGGGCCUCAGUGCACCGCCCUGGGCGCCGAUCGCCUCGCCGGCUCCUCUUACUCCUUCUCGGGCCCUUCCGGAAGCCCAGGGAACUCAGAGGGCGGACUGAGAGCAGCCCUCCCACCCGGCAGGCAGCGGCACAGGAGGACGGAGCGGACAGAGCUGCUGUAGUGGGGAGGCCCUUACCCGCGAUCGGAAAGCCACCGCCCUCAGUGUGAGAGAAGUCCUUCCUUUCACGUAGACACUGAUACCUGAGUCACCUUCGUGACAAAGUCUUUGCUGAAAGAAACCAGGCGCAAUCAAGAAGUCUGUUCUCACUGAGAAAGACAGCAGCAGGGGGCAGGCGUGCAGCGCUCUGGAGGCUGAGCCAGUCUGGAUUCCAAAGCCCAGCACCCAGGAGCCAAACCAGGGAAGACACAAUGCGAUGUUCCAGCAGGACCUGCUUCCCGUGGCCUCCUCGGGCAUCUCACUCCUGUGGCUCUUCAUCACUUUGCAGAUCCCCAAGGGGGCUGGGGGGCGGCCGAGAUGUGAUACCCAUGAAAGGCCAAGUAGCAACCCUGUCCGAAGUUGGGAAUCGGGGUGUAGGGUGGGAAUGGUGAGGACAGGUGGGUUCCCCAAAGCACCAGGGUUUCCCUCUUCCCUUACAUUUCCACCUGAGAGGGUGGAGUUGGGGCCCAUGAAGAAACUGCACUUGUUUUUCAUGUUUGUUAAGGUACGGAGGGGAGCGGGACUGCUGGAGCCGGGAUCCCUUGGCCAAUGGCUCCGCAUCCUGAGCAUGGGCUGGACUCGCUCUAGGAGGAGUGACCCAUUCCACCUUUUCCCUUUGAAAGCUUGUGAGAAGCCACUGGGGAUAAAUGCUGUUCUUUUUACAGAAGGAUUUCUCUGUUUUGUCUUUGUUGAUGCCCCAGGAGACCAGUUAUGACAGCAAGAAGAACCCGAGGCCACUGGAAGACUGGCACAUGACCACCUGAAAAUAUAUGAAAAAAAUCCCAAAGAGAAGGAAGAGUGAGGGCCAAGGAGAGGGAGGGGUGGGGCUUCCCAGGGAAACACAUAUAUCAGGAGAGGUGAGGUAUCUAGCCACAAUGGCACAUACCUGGGAUCCCAGCUACUUGGGAGGCAGAGGCAGGAGGAUCGCAAAUUCAAUACCAGCCUGUGAAAUUUAGUGAGACCCUGUCUCAAAAUAAAAUAAGGGGGCAGGGGAUGUAGCUCAGUGGAUGUAGCACCACUGGGUUCAAUUUCUGGAAGAAAGAGGGAGAAUAUUAGAGAUAGAAAGAUGGAGAAAUGGGAGGUAAGGUAACUAGAGGGAGGGAGAAAAGGCAGAAGUUAGUUGAGCUUGGUGGCAGAAACCUGAAUCCUGGAGGAUUGUGAACUCCAGGUCAGCCUGGACUACAUAGUGAGACUUUCUCAAACCAGCCAACAAACAAAAAAUGCAUAGAAAUAAAAAUUAAAAAUCAAAGCGAAAAGACAGAACUGCACCCAGGACUAUUUUAAUUUGAUGAGGCGAUUCAUUCCCCCUGCCUAAAAUAUUGACACAUUGGGGUAGGAGGAAGGAAUUUGCAAAUGAUGAAGUUGUUAUAGUAAGUAUUAUAGGCUCUAAUCAGUGUUUAUAGGACAUUACUGAACAUUACAAUUUGUUUACUUUUUUAUCUGGUGUUUCCUGUUCAUAUUGGGUGAGCAACAAGGAACAAGGACUCUUCUUACU